UUUGACGUCAUCACGCCGUUGCGUAGUUAUGUCACGUCUGUAAACAGAAAGAAGAAGAGUCGACUACUAUAUCAUACGUGUGGGGGCUGUUGAACGGUGGAGUGGUUGUAGCUUGUUCUUACAACAGUUGGUUAGAAUUUAAACUUGUUAUCUAGAUAGUUGCUUUUAAUCUGCACAGUUCUAAACACAAUCAUUGUUGACAUGUGUAGAAUCACCUGUUGUCAAAACCUAGAAACCUCGAACUGCAGAGAGCCUGAAUUCAAAAGGGGAAAGGGACAGAGCCCAUGCUAAAACGAGAACAAUAUUGGCAUGGCUUUUGAGAAGUGGCAACAACUCUGAGAUCUGAAGGGAUUGAAGACUGAUGCAGAGAUGGCUUUUUUCUGCUGAACAGACAACCAGAAGCAGAAGUGCCCUUUCAUCUUCCCUACCUCCUCACCCAGAACUGUGAUGCAGGCCGAGCAUCUGACACACACCACCAGAUGGCCUGAGAGUCUGCAAUGGACACACACUAGUGAACAUGGAGGGAGAAGCAAAAGUAUAGAGAGUGACGGAUGAGUGGGAAGAACUCUUGAAAAAGGCAGGAUAUUGGCACUUAUUGGAGGAUAACACUGGCGAGGUUUAAAAGGAGGAUGCAUUUUAUUGCUUGCCAAACUGAUUCCCAAAAUAUGAGCUGUUUAUUACUCACCUCUGCAAAGAUAAAUAGAACAAGUGUGUCUACACGGUUCCAAUACAUACAUUUAUUAUUGGCUUUUUUUAUAUUACUUGCUUGGUAUUCACCUAACAAAGACAGGGCUUCAUCAGAAUAUAAAUGCUAGGCUAUAUCUGCUAACCCUAGGAUGACUUUUUCUGUGAGGAGAUGUUUGCUUAGCAUUUUUAGAUGGAGUAUCCAGUGUCAGCACUUUGCAACAGUCAGUUCCUUUCAUUUUUCUGACACUGGAUGGAAGUUUCUGGCAGUUUCUCAGUACCAUUUUUGUCUCAUAAACUUCAAGAGAGCGAAAAAGAGUGCCUAGUGAGGGUUUGUAGCUGCUAUUACAUGAGUGAUAACGGAAACUAAUUUGUUUCACAGGUGCUCCACAACAAUGACUGUAGCUAUUAACAAAUAAAAAUGAUGUAUCUUUCUAGCCUUGAUAAAUUGCUAUGAUACAAAGGGAAUAAAACACUUCCAGACAUGCCAUUAUUGGAAAACAAUCAACUUCAGGGUGGUAAGAGUAACUCUUCUUCAUGUCAGGCCGUAUCACAAAACCCCUUAUUCAGGAUUUUGAAUCGGUUGCUAAAUUGUAUCACAGAAUAAAUUUAAUAAGGUUUAACAUUAAAAGGAGGGUCCAAACAGAUGAUAGACAGGGAAGACCAAAAUGAGCGCUGAAUUGUGGUUUAGACCACAUUAACAUUAGGUCAGAGAAGCUUUGAUAAAUCCCACUGAAAUCCGAAGGACUCUGUUUCUUUAGUCUUGAGAAGACUAAAAGCUGCAGCAAGGACAGGAGUUCUACCACUCUAGUGUUCUGGAGAGUCACAGAGAGAUCCAAUUAUUCUCUGUAGUCUGGGAUGUGUGCGUUUGAAAAUAUUUGCAUCAUAGUAUUGCUCAGAUUAAAAGAAUUUUUGAUCAGUAA